GGCCGAAACUACACUUACUAUUUCCUAUCACCAUAUCAUUCAUUAAGGAAAUAUUCGCUACAUAAGCUUGACCCAGCCAAAUGACUAACAAACAUGUAGCCAUGGCCAAUACAGCAUGAAUUAGUCAGGAACUUCUUAGCACAAACUCUUAUCUAUUUCACACUUCUCCUCUGGACUCUAUAAAUUAAAAUAUCAGAAAUGCAUAUGCAAAGGCAGUGGAAGCAAAGAGAACUUAUAUUUGAAGGAGGCACAACGAAUCCGCAGCACGCUCCAUAAGCAACUACAAGCCGACGGAGCGAACAACAACAGGUUGGACCGAUGGACGACGACGAAAAAAGCAGAGGCCUACAGGAGGAAAAAUGCAGCAGUCAGUGAGCUCGUAAAUCCAAAACAUAGCAAAUAAUGGUGACGGUGACACCUCAGCCAAACGGUUCCAUGGAAAGUCAACCCAAAGCGAGACUAUAUACUUAAUAUCGUCGUGCAUAUACUUAAUAUCCUGAUGACACUAUAUCCACACUACUUGAGAAAGUAAAGAAUCAAGCGAGACUAACAGAGAAGUUGUAGAGUUCUACAGUUUCCGCUUUACAAUACCAAAAAACAAUAUAGCUCUUUUGCAAGUAAUUACAUGACAUGAUGGUCUACAGCUACAAGAAGGCUGGGUGAAGUCUAUGAUGGGUUCUUUUCCAAGCAAGGAGAAGGCCAAGGUGACGCUGGUCUACAGCUACAGGAACGUCAUCAGCAGGUUCACGCCGAAGCUCACGCCCGCGCAGGUCCCCGUGUUGAGUGAGUUCCCCUCUUGCUACUCUGCUUUGCUCUCACAGUCAACUGAAUCCCUUUAAUUAGCAGUAAAACUACAGUUGCAAGAGUUUUUUUAAUUGCAUGAUGCACAGCUGAUGGUCAACUAAGGCAAACCCAUAGUAUAAUUGUUAAGAUCAAAUUGGCAAUUUUUGUCGGAUCUGUUGUCAAUACCGAGGUCGGUGCAAGGGCUACACACAUGGCUAAUAUGCUAAUUCUUGUCGCCAGAAAACCAAGAAAGGUGUACCAUGAGCAAGGAUUGACAUUACAAAUGUAUACACUAUUAUGUAUAAAAGGCCAAUGGCUCCAGCAACUAUAGCAAUUAAACCGUAAACACCAAGGAAAGAAGAGAAUGAUUUUUAUUCAGCCGUUAUGUAAAAAAAGCAACCAAAUAGUUGCUGAACCUAGCCUUGUUAUGGUACCUAUUCAAACUAAACGAAGUACAAGCAAAUUUAUCGAAAGUAGAACGCACACAACUGCUUGAACAACUCUAGCAGCCUGUGAUAUGCAAAUCAGGAUACCUCACAAAAUAUUCUCAGAAUGCAUUGAUCAAUGUCUAUGCAAACCAAACAAAGGCGGCUUCUACACUAUGGAUCAGGAAAUAUUGACUGUUUAACUUAGUCAGGCCAAAGCCAUUGCCAAGACUCCUCAGAUUUAUUCCUUAAUAGUUCCAUAUGUCCAGAAAAUAAAAUACAAUACCAUCAACUCCAGUUCCACAAACUGUUAUUGGGACAUAUGCACAAUUUUGAAACUGAGUAUACAUACCAGUUCUAACCACAUAUAGUUGUUCUUAGUCCAAGCUCAAAUGUACCCAUGUUUACAUGGGUAGUGUGGAUAUUUAAUAUCAACAGGACAACAUCACAUUUUAUCUGCUGACCAAAGCACAACAGGUCAACCAAAGUACAACAGGCA
rnacentral:lncRNA from 1 species